rnacentral:rRNA from 1 species
CAGUCGCCACGGUAAUACAUAGGGUGCGAGCGUUAAUCGGAAUUACUGGGCGCAAAGCGUGCGCAGGCGGUUCGUUAAGACAGAUGUGAAAUCCCCGGGCUUAACCUGGGAACUGCAUUUGUGACUGGCGAGCUAGAGUAUGGCAGAGGGGGGUAGAAUUCCACGUGUAGCAGUGAAAUGCGUAGAGAUGUGGAGGAACACCGAUGGCGAAGGCAGCCCCCUGGGCCAAUACUGACGCUCAUGCACGAAAGCGUGGGGAGCAAACAGGAUUAGAUACCCCGGUAGUCCCUGUCUCUUAUAC